rnacentral:rRNA from 1 species
UACAGAGGGGGCAAGCGUUGUUCGGAAUUACUGGGCGUAAAGGGCGCGUAGGCGGCCUGUUAAGUCGAACGUGAAAUCCCCGGGCUCAACCCGGGAACUGCGUCCGAUACUGGCAGGCUUGAAUCCGGGAGAGGGAUGCGGAAUUCCAGGUGUAGCGGUGAAAUGCGUAGAUAUCUGGAGGAACACCGGUGGCGAAGGCGGCAUCCUGGACCGGCAUUGACGCUGAGGCGCGAAA